CAAAAAGGCUUCUCAACAGUUUUUACCCCCAAGCCAUAAGACUCCUGAACAGGCCCUACCAGUCAACACCACCUCAUAAGACUGCCUGCUGCACUUGUUCGAGAGAUGUCCAGUUUGCAGCCGGACAUGGGGGCCCUCAUCGGCAUAAUGCAGACAUGCCCUCGCUGGGGCAGGAGCUAAUCUACGCUGCCAUGUGUUAUCAAUGGGGCUCUGGCAAUGACCUUACCUCCAGCCUCACCUCUUGCCUGCUCACCAACGGUCGUCGAUGGGGAGAACAGAAUUAGAAACAUGUAUGGAGCCAGCACAUGGAGACUUGCAAGAUGAUGUGAUGAAGUCCAGAUCGACAGACGCACUUGAUACUGAUGUCUCUGAAUGUAGAGAGACCUGGAACUCAUCAUAAAAUGUU